AUUGAACGCUGGCGGCAUGCUUUACACAUGCAAGUCGAACGGCAGCGCGGGCUUCGGCCUGGCGGCGAGUGGCGAACGGGUGAGUAAUGCAUCGGAACGUGCCCAGUAGUGGGGGAUAGCCCGGCGAAAGCCGGAUUAAUACCGCGUACGACCUGAGGGUGAAAGCGGGGGACCGAAAGGCCUCGCGCUAUUGGAGCGGCCGAUGUCGGAUUAGCUAGUUGGUGGGGUAAAGGCUUACCAAGGCGACGAUCCGUAGCUGGUCUGAGAGGACGACCAGCCACACUGGGACUGAGACACGGCCCAGACUCCUACGGGAGGCAGCAGUGGGGAAUUUUGGACAAUGGGGGCAACCCUAAUCCAGCCAUGCCGCGUGCGGGAAGAAGGCCUUCGGGUUGUAAACCGCUUUUGUUCGGGAAGAAAUCCUCUGGGCUAAUACCCCGGGGGGAUGACGGUACCGGAAGAAUAAGCACCGGCUAACUACGUG
rnacentral:rRNA from 1 species